UAGCUGUAGGUGAACCUGCAGCUGGAUCAUUUCGAGAGUUUUCGAACUCAAGAAUUUUUAAUUGAGUCAUUACUUGCUCGUCAGACGUGCUUUGCACUCUGGCUGAGUUUUGAACAACUCAUAACGGUGGAUGUCUUGGCUUCC
rnacentral:misc_RNA from 1 species